CCGGAUCUCAGAUCAAGCAAGAGG
rnacentral:rRNA from 1 species